UUCUAGAGACACCAUAUCAAUACUCAACGCUUUUAGCUAUUUCAGCGCUGGAUCAAGCUUUCAAGGCUUUAAAAUUCGAGCUGAGUAAAUCGACACGGAUGUAUCAACCAGCAAUGGAAUCAUACAAUAGUGAAGCCUUAUUUUUCAUCACAUAUGCUCAGUCCAUUUGCACAGUGAAAACUACAGAGCAGAAGAAUUUAGAUCACACUCUUGACACUUCAUUGGAAGACUCUCAGUUGUAAGUCUUGAUACAUAAUUCAUCUCAAAUCUAAGGCCUUGUCUCCACAGGCCGUUUCACGGGAUUUGUCCCUGGGAAAAAUCCCACUUACGAAGUUGGGAAAAAUAUUGAGUUAACCAAUAUUUUUCCCAGUACCAAGUAUGGUCCUCGUACUCCUAGGACCCACGGAGAGAGGAAGAAGUGAAAACGAAUUCUGCGAUAUUUUGUUGAAAACUCCAUCGUCCAUGUUUGUUUAGUUAAAAUAAUGUGUCUAAUUGUCAAAUGAGUGCAAUUAUUAUUUUAAUCCCGGUUAAAUACUCGACUUUAUCUAAUUUAUCUUCCCACGCAAACUAGUCGCAGGAUUGUAUGAGCCCCGUCCCGUGGAGACGGUAACUGGGAAAAAAUCAGAAGUUUCACUCCUGCGAUUCGAACUUGGGACAAAUCCCAUGAAAACGUCCCGUGGAGACAAGGCCUAUCCAAUUUUUUUCCGGGCCAGCUGUGCAUACAAUGGUAUUAGUGUGUUUGCAAAUGGUGAGCACUUUGA
rnacentral:lncRNA from 1 species